rnacentral:snRNA from 1 species
AUGCUUACUUCAACAGCACAUAUAUUAAAUUAAACUGAUAGAGAUUCACAUAGCCCCUGCCCAAGGAUGACAUACAAAUUUGUGAAUCAUUCUGUAUUUUU